GGACUACAAGGGUAUCUAAUCCCGUUUGCUCCCCUGGCUUUCGCGCCUCAGCGUCAGUAGAGGUCCAGCGGACCGCUUUCGCCACCGGCGUUCCUUCCGAUAUCUACGCAUUUCACCGCUCCACCGGAAGUUCCGUCCGCCCCUACCUCCCUCCAGCCGCCCAGUAUCAGGGGCACUUUUCCGGUUGAGCCGAAAGAUUUCACCCCUGACUUGGCCAGCCGCCUACGCGCCCUUUAAGCCCAGUGAAUCCGAACAACGUUCGCACGGUUCGUCUUACCGCGGCUGCUGGCAC
rnacentral:rRNA from 1 species